GAUGAACGCUGGCGGCGUGCCUAAUACAUGCAAGUCGAGCGAACGGACGAGAAGCUUGCUUCUCUGAUGUUAGCGGCGGACGGGUGAGUAACACGUGGAUAACCUACCUAUAAGACUGGGAUAACUUCGGGAAACCGGAGCUAAUACCGGAUAAUAUUUUGAACCGCAUGGUUCAAAAGUGAAAGACGGUCUUGCUGUCACUUAUAGAUGGAUCCGCGCUGCAUUAGCUAGUUGGUAAGGUAACGGCUUACCAAGGCAACGAUGCAUAGCCGACCUGAGAGGGUGAUCGGCCACACUGGGACUGAGACACGGUCCAGACUCCUACGGGAGGCAGCAGUAGGGAAUCUUCCGCAAUGGGCGAAAGCCUGACGGAGCAACGCCGCGUGAGUGAUGAAGGUCUUCGGAUCGUAAAACUCUGUUAUUAGGGAAGAACAUAUGUGUAAGUAACUGUGCACAUCUUGACGGUACCUAAUCAGAAAGCCACGGCUAACUACGUGCCAGCAGCCGCGGUAAUACGUAGGUGGCAAGCGUUAUCCGGAAUUAUUGGGCGUAAAGCGCGCGUAGGCGGUUUUUUAAGUCUGAUGUGAAAGCCCACGGCUCAACCGUGGAGGGUCAUUGGAAACUGGAAAACUUGAGUGCAGAAGAGGAAAGUGGAAUUCCAUGUGUAGCGGUGAAAUGCGCAGAGAUAUGGAGGAACACCAGUGGCGAAGGCGACUUUCUGGUCUGUAACUGACGCUGAUGUGCGAAAGCGUGGGGAUCAAACAGGAUUAGAUACCCUGGUAGUCCACGCCGUAAACGAUGAGUGCUAAGUGUUAGGGGGUUUCCGCCCCUUAGUGCUGCAGCUAACGCAUUAAGCACUCCGCCUGGGGAGUACGACCGCAAGGUUGAAACUCAAAGGAAUUGACGGGGACCCGCACAAGCGGUGGAGCAUGUGGUUUAAUUCGAAGCAACGCGAAGAACCUUACCAAAUCUUGACAUCCUUUGACAACUCUAGAGAUAGAGCUUUCCCCUUCGGGGGACAAAGUGACAGGUGGUGCAUGGUUGUCGUCAGCUCGUGUCGUGAGAUGUUGGGUUAAGUCCCGCAACGAGCGCAACCCUUAAGCUUAGUUGCCAUCAUUAAGUUGGGCACUCUAAGUUGACUGCCGGUGACAAACCGGAGGAAGGUGGGGAUGACGUCAAAUCAUCAUGCCCCUUAUGAUUUGGGCUACACACGUGCUACAAUGGACAAUACAAAGGGCAGCGAAACCGUGAGGUCAAGCAAAUCCCAUAAAGUUGUUCUCAGUUCGGAUUGUAGUCUGCAACUCGACUACAUGAAGCUGGAAUCGCUAGUAAUCGUAGAUCAGCAUGCUACGGUGAAUACGUUCCCGGGUCU
rnacentral:rRNA from 1 species